GACGAACGCUGGCGGCGUGCUUAACACAUGCAAGUCGAACGGAAAGGCCCUGCUUUUGUGGGGUGCUCGAGUGGCGAACGGGUGAGUAACACGUGAGUAACCUGCCCUUGACUUUGGGAUAACUUCAGGAAACUGGGGCUAAUACCGGAUAGGAGCUCCUGCUGCAUGGUGGGGGUUGGAAAGUUUCGGCGGUUGGGGAUGGACUCGCGGCUUAUCAGCUUGUUGGUGGGGUAGUGGCUUACCAAGGCUUUGACGGGUAGCCGGCCUGAGAGGGUGACCGGCCACAUGGGGACUGGGUUACGGCCCAGACUCCUACGGGGGGCAGAGGGGGGAAAAUUUGCACAAGGGGCGGAGGCUUGAGGCACAAACGCGGGGUGGGGAAUGACGGCCUCCGGGUGGUAACCGGCUUUGGCCUGGGCCGAGGCGGGGGGGCGGGAAUGGGUAAAGAAGCACCGGCUAACUACGUG
rnacentral:rRNA from 1 species